CAAUUAACAUGGCUUAACACGCAACGUGGGUGAGCCGUUACUCGAAUUAAUGCAAGUGGGUCCACACCCCAAACAAACUUGGCGAGGAAUCCAUUCUCGCGAACACACACGACAUUCCAACCGUGGAGAGUGGAGACCACCUCGGCUCUCUCCUUGCAAACGCAGGCGCCGCCUCAGUUCCCUUUGAGAUACCCGUUCGUUUUCGUCGUCAACCUCAGUGAGUCCUUCCAGCCGACGAAGAAACGUCUUCACUCAAGCUCCAUGGACGCAAAGCCCCGCUGUUGUUCAAGACGCAAGUUCGAAUAUGUCCUUCCGCCUACCUUUAUCAGUUGUCUCCGUCGAUUCCCUCGCUGUCGUCGUCAAAGACCCAUUUUGUCUAUUUUCUCGCAGUUCACCCAAAAGCCUUCCUCCCUCUUCAUUUGGACUUUCACUCAGAAACCCACUUAUCCCACAUGCCAUUCCUCCUCUUUUUCCAUUUGCCACUCACCGUUGGAAUAUCUGUUCAACCUCAAAUGAUCUCUAAAACUCAUUCACCCUCUCAUUCCCUCCACGAGUCCUUUAAUGGCCUUCGCUGCUUCUUCUCAGUGAGACCGCCGCCCUCGCCUUUCAAAUUUGAUGUGGGUGCAGUCAUUUGCAAUCAUGGGUUACAACCAGAAGCAGCUGGCUCUCUUAGCCAUGGCCAAGGACUUGGGUGACGAUAUCGGAUUUGUAGCAGGCAAACUCAGUCAGGUUUCGCCCUUCUCUUGAGUUAUCAUCGUCGUGGCUCUUCAGAAUUUCUCUGGUUACUUCCUGCUCUGGCUUGUCAUCACCCGAAACAUCCUUUCUCUGCACCUCUGGGCGGACUCUUCAAAAAUCCUAGAGCAAGAUCUUUUCUCACGUAAUAAUCUUGAAAAAUGCCAACGGACAGCUUGACUCGGCUUCAAGCGAAUGAAAGCAAGCUUUUUCGCAUGAAUCGCCUUCACUCUCCAGUACCGAAUCCAAACCUGGUGAUUGAAAAGGCACGAGUGUUGCAUAGUGGAGCAUGGAACGCUUUGUCCAUUGAACAAUGUGAAUUCCCUUCUCCUAUUGACACUUGAUCAUAAGGGCUCCUUUGUUUGGGGGUUUGUUGAUUAGAUUAAAUCUAUUUCAGCUUUCAUGGCUGAGGCUCUUGCAUUAAGAAGAGCUCUCAUAUUGGCAAUUGAUCUUGGCAAGAACAAGAUUGUAUGUGAGACUGACUGUCAACUUUUAGUCUCUUCUGUGUCUCAGUAAAUUCCAAAUCUAUAUGACAAGAAGUGUCGUGGUAUCAUUCAGGGAAUUAUUGAGCUCUUUGCAUCUAUGGUUGGGUUUUCUCUGUCAUUCACUCCUAGGAGGGGUAACUGUGUAGCUGAUCAUCUUGUGACUGAUGCUUGUAAGGGAGUGCACCCUUUGGGGUGGGUUUUGGAAACAUCACUCUCUUUGCUUUCUUUUCUAACUGGUGUUGCAGGAUGGCCAUUGGUUAAUUUUUCUGAUGCUUGUUUGUUACGUGUCCUAGUUUUUUUAGUUUGGUAUGUUUGCUGUUGUUUUCUUUCCUGGAUAUUGGCUGCUUUGUUUUCAGUUAAUAGAACUAUAAACCAAUAAGAAAAGGUAAGAAGGUGCUCAUUUGGACCCUAUGAGUUAAUUUUUAAUAGUUGUUUUGGUUUUUAGUAAUUUGAUGUCCAAUUAUGUUUUGUGACUGUCAUGGAGAUUUUUUCCUCAAAGUAUAGGUGAAAAUUCUAUUUUGGUAGGAAUCUUUUUGGCUAUAGAUAAGUGUUGAUCAUUUUGGCUGGCUUGGAUUGAAUUUUUCUGUUUUGAUCCUUCGAUUUUGCUAGAAAGUGUGCUUUAUUCUUGUUUAUGUGAAUUGAAAGUGUUGUAUUUUUGCUGAAAUAAUGCUUGUGCAUACUACAUUGUUGUGGUUCCAACAAAUUGCAUUGUUUCCGACCAUGAACAUAUCACCUUUGAGAGAUCUUUACUUCUCUGACUGCAUUAUGGCCUAGACAGAUAUUUGUAGCAAAUGAAAUGGUCUGAUUUCAUGAAGGAAGAGACAUAUUGAUGCGAUACUCUUUUUGUGGUUGCUGUAGAUCAUUUUUCAUUGUUAUUUGCGCAUUGUUUGUUCUGGUUUAUGGGACAAGAAAAGUUAUUAAGAUUGACCUUUAAAUUGGUAUAAACUUGCGUUGUUCUAUGUUAAAAUCAUGAAGGAAAAUCUGGAUAUGUUUUGGAGAGCAUGUGGUUUUUUACAAGUAUUUUGCUAUAGUUUUUCUUGAAAAUGAGACUAUUAAUAUUGAAAUUUUAUGUUGUGAUUUAAUGGAUGCUUUGGUUUAGAAGGAAUUAGUAUGGAUCAAGGUAUUAACGUUUAAAAGUUGUUCAAGUAUAUGUUGUUCAAUUAUGUAGUAUGGUGGGAACUCUUAAGACUAUUUGUUGUAGAAAAGUGUUGUACAUUGAGGUAGAAUUUUAACUAUACAGGUGUAGACAUGAUCAUGCUAUUUAAAAGUCUUUUACCAGAAAGCAUGUUUUAUUUUUAACGCAAACUAAAUUUUGACGCCCUGACAUUGUAGAGUUGAUUCUGUUGCUGGAAUUAAAAUUGAUAAAAAAAGUAAGAUCAUUAUUAUGAAAGUGCUUGGAUAUUGAAAUGCGUAUGCUCUUGUUUUUUUUUUUUUUUAUUUGGAUGGCAUUUAGGAGUAAAUGGCCUCACAUUAGUACAAACUAGUACAAAAAGGGCAUGAUAUCCGUUGUAAAGUCGGAUGUUGAAGAUGAUUUAUAGCUCAAAGUGUAUGUUGGAAUGUUGUCAUAUUUAAAGCCAUCCUUGAUCUAUUCUUAUCUUUUGGAUGCUAAGAUUUUUGUUUUUAUCAAUCAUGUGGCACUCAAGUACUUGAUGAGGAACUUGGUGUCUUAAUUGAGGCCGCAUGUGUGCUUGUGUCAAGUAUAAAGAUGAUUGAGGCGUUUCAUUUAUGUUCUAGUGAAGCCAAUAGUAGUGCUAAUAAUUUAUUUCUUUUAAAGUUUCUUUCAUUUUCAUUUCUUCUUUCUUUUCUACUCCUAAACCAGGCCACCCUUUUCUUCCGUUUAUUUUUUAUUCAAUUUGUAUCAGCUUGUUUUUUUAUUAUGUUAUUGAGUAAUGAACGUUAUUGGCUACUCUUCACUUCAUGGUAUUUAUGCUGCAUUUAUUAAAGCCUACAGGUAAUAAUGUUUCAAUUGUCUCAUGAUGCAUUUUGUCAUCUCCUUAAUAUGUUCUUCUAAGUGUAGAUUAUUUUGAUUACUUAGCAUAUAUGUUUACCUUAUAGUAAUUUGCUUACUUGGUUGAAUGUUUGUGGUUGUAGGGUGCAAUUCUCCGUUGCAUGAAGGUGAUAUGGAGUCUUCUCUCUUCUUCUUUUGAGUAGGCUAGCUUGUGUUUUAAAACACCUCUUUUGUUUCUUUUGCUUAAUUAAUAUUUAGGAUUAGUUUGCUUGGUUUAUUUUUCCAUUAAUCUUCAUGUUAGUUAUUUAGUCAAUUAUUUAUUUGUAUAUUUAUUGAUUUAUUCCAUUUGCUUGUAUUUACACAUGAUUGUGUACUUGUUAACUGAACCUUUACAUGAAGCUGCGUUACAUCUUUU